UACGUAGGGCGCAAGCGUUGUCCGGAAUUAUUGGGCGUAAAGAGCUCGUAGGCGGUCUGUCGCGUCGGAUGUGAAAGCCCGGGGCUCAACUCCGGAUCUGCGGUGGGUACGGGCAGACUAGAGUGAUGUAGGGGAGACUGGAAUUCCUGGUGUAGCGGUGAAAUGCGCAGAUAUCAGGAGGAACACCGAUGGCGAAGGCAGUUCUCUGGGCCGUAACUGACGCUGAGGAGCGAAAGCGUGGGGAGCGAACAGG
rnacentral:rRNA from 1 species